ACAUAGACUCAAAAGUUUAGUCCAAUUAUUUUUGUGGAUCAAGCAAUCAAUCUCAUGAAAAAUGCCGAUUUCACGGGUUGAGCCUUAACCUAGUCGUCCAUAUAUCUACCCCAACUAGAUUAUAAUAUUUUGGUGAAUGGAGAAAGAGUUGGUCCUAUUCUUCCUAGAAAGAGUCUAAGAUAAGGAAAUCCUUUAUCACCAUAUGCAUUUAUCCUUUAUAUAGAGGGUCUUUCUUCACUUUGAAAGAAGGUUGAAGGGUGUUGAGAUAUUCAUAGAGUCAAAGUGCAUAGAGGAAUUACUAUCCUCUCACACUUGUUAUCUGUUGAUUUCUAUUUUUUGUUUUGCAGGACAAUUGAUAAAGAGGCAGAUGUUCUUAAAAAUAUUUUGACUACAUUUGAGGCAUCAUCAGGCCUAGUUGUGAAUUUGCGUAAGUCUGAAAUUUGUUUUAGUAGAAACACGUCUCAAAUUGCAAGAGAUUCUAUCUUCUUUCACUUAGGGAUGAGUAUUUGGAUAUGCCAUCUAUGAUUAGAACCAAGAAGAAAGCUAUUUUCAAUUAUCUAAGAGAUGAGUUUGGAAGAAUAUAUUCAACACUAGUCCAACAAGAAUCUUUCAAAGGGCAGAGAGAAAAGUGCUUAAUUAUCAAAUAUGUUGCACAAUCUAUUACAACCUAUUGCAUGAGUAACUUUUUGCUUCCAUCUUGUUUGUGUGAUGAGAUCCAAAGAAAGCUUAAUUCUUUUUGGUGGGAUUCUAAUAGAAUCAAUAUAGAGGUAUCAAGUGGCUUAACUGUGAAUGUUUAACUAUCAGGAAGGAAUUUGGAGUAUCUACAUGGUUGGUGAUUAAAGAUGGCAUUAGACAACGUUUGGGUGAUGGAAAUAAAAUGAAUAUUUGGAGGGACCCUUGGAUGCAUACAAGUGAUAGUCCUUGUAUUAAAACUACUCCUAUUCAAGGACUAGAACAUCUCAAGGUUUAUGAUUUGAUUGAGAGUAAGUACAUCACGAAUUAUGAACUUAUUCAUGAUCUUUAUCCCACGUGAUGUUCAUGCUAUCGAAUGCAUGCCAAUUUAUUUUCAAAAAAUUGAUGUAAGUUGAUUUGGAACUUGGGUAGAGAUGGCAACUAUUAUGUAGAAUCAAGAUAUUAUCAUGUCAGUUUGUCAAAAAAAAAAAUAUUAUCAUGUCAUGGAA